ensembl:lncRNA
GUAUCACAGUAGAUAAUUUUAGGUCUUGUUCAAACUUAAAGGCUAAAUCCAUCGCUAGACACUGUUUGAGGUAUUUUUUCUGUCUCCUUAAAUAGUUAUAAGUGAUUGUAGGUGUUUUAAACAUACAUUUUUAAACAUGUUUUAAACUUUUUUUUUUAUGUUGAGCCGGAUGUGCUCGACCUAUGACGUCAUGGGGUGAUUGAGCCUUCUGUCUGAUGUAAAAAUGUGUUCUCAAUUAUUGUGGCCUUCGUGUUUCUCAGAUUCUUCCUCUCCUUUCCUCUGAGUUUUUUUUGUUUUUGUUUUGGACAAAUCUGAAUGAUUCUUUGAAUUGGAUUUAAAUGUAUUUCUGCGGGUACACUGGACUCAUGGAAAACACGUCAAACCAUGGAGUUGUGUAUAUUAAAAAGGUUUACAUGGAUGCUUUCCUCAAAUGUAUCAGCACGUACCCCAUCGUACCUUUGGAUAAAUGUGGGAUAUUUAAAAUCAGUUUGUUUGAUCCUUUUAGGAAAAUGUUACACUACACACACCCUCUGCUAUAUCAAAAGAGAGUUAGCAUUUCGAGAAGUGCUGUCCGUGACCAUGACAUACCAUCUAGAUAUUAAGCGGCACUCAAAUGAUUAUGCUUGGCCACACUCACGCUAGUGCAAAGCUAGCAAACAGUUGGGUGGUGCUAGGUAUGAACAGCCAUUUUCAGCCAAUCCACUUAGAGUUGGAAGCUGUGCCAAGUUUCGCUUUGUGGCCUGCACUGUGACUUUGCUUCACAUUGGCAAAUCUAAAGUUUUUCCUGCCUUCCUGUUCGGCCAACGGUCCUCCACCCUUACUGCUUCUUAGCGCUUUCCUGUUUCUAGGCAUGCUGCUGCAGCCUAGUGUGUUAUGGGCAUGGGGUACAGUUGUGCUCAAAAGUUUGCAUAUCCUUGGAGAAUUGGUAAUAUAUGUACCAUCUGUAAAGAAAACAUGAGUGAGCGGGUAAAACACGUCUUUUAUUUCUUAUGGGAUUCACGUUCAACUGUAGGUCAUAACAGAAUGGCACAAUCAUAAAACUAAAAAUCUUUCUUGGUCUACCUGACCUUGGCUUGGUAUCUAGAGAUCCACAUUUUAAUAAUGCAAAUAAACAGGAAACACUUACACAAGAGCUGCUCAAAUUAAUUCCUGGAGAACUCCUUCCCCUGCUGUGAGCUUUUUCCAAUUCCAGUUGUGAAAGUUUAGCUAAUUAUUAAAAACAGGAUAAUGGCUCUCCUUGAACAGACCUGCCUCGUUUUUCAUGUAAUUUAUUAAACCUGAUAAAAUUAAGUUGCACAAAGUUACCUACACUACUGUUCAAAGGUUUCGGGUCACUUAGAAAUGUCCUUGUUUUUGAAUGAAAAGGUAGAGUAGCAAUGCUAGAAAAGCAAUUUUUUGUCCAUUAAAGAGUCCCCGUAAAACAGUGAAUAGGCGACUCCAGGAUGCUGGCCUUCUAGGCAGAGUUGCAAAUAAAAUGCCAUCUCUGACUGGACAGGAAGGUCAGGAAAAAAGUGUUAUGUACAAACAAAUCUACAUUUGAGGUGUUCGGAUCACAAAGAACAUUUGUUUGACCCAGACCAAAUAAAAAGAUGCUGGAGGAGUGCCCAUCAAGUCAAUCUAACUUGUGGGAGGUGCUUCAGGAGGCACGGGGUGAAAUUUCAAAUUACCUCAACAAAUUGACGACUAGAAUGCCAAAGGUCUGCAAGGCAGUAAUUUCUGCAAAUGGAGGAUUUUGUGACGGAAGCAAAAUUUGAAAGACAAUUAUUAUUUCAAUUAAAUAUCAAUAUUUUUAACCUUCAGUGUAUAUAUGUUCUAUUAAUUUUGCUAAAUUUCCUAUUAAAAUUAAUUUAAUGUAUGUUUUCAUGGAAAACAAAGUGACCCCAAACAUUUGAACGGCAGUGUACAUAAAUUCAUAUUUUGGCUGUCGGAGUGGAUAUCGAUUUCUCUAAAAAUAAUUUGGCUUUUAGUACAGGAUUAGAGUCCCUAAUUAGCUCAGUUUUCAAAUUAGUCCUAUAAUUCUGAGUGUUUCGUUGAUAAACAACAGAGGUGAAAUGUCCUGCAGUUGUGAUGUGAAGUGAGUCCUGAAUCAUAUGAAUGUGUAUAUAUAUAUAUAU